rnacentral:rRNA from 1 species
GAUGAACGCUGGCGGCGUGCCUAAUACAUGCAAGUCGAGCGAACAGACGAGGAGCUUGCUCCUCUGACGUUAGCGGCGGACGGGUGAGUAACACGUGGAUAACCUACCUAUAAGACUGGGAUAACUUCGGGAAACCGGAGCUAAUACCGGAUAAUAUAUUGAACCGCAUGGUUCAAUAGUGAAAGACGGUUUUGCUGUCACUUAUAGAUGGAUCCGCGCCGCAUUAGCUAGUUGGUAAGGUAACGGCUUACCAAGGCAACGAUGCGUAGCCGACCUGAGAGGGUGCUCGGCCACACUGGAACUGAGACACGGUCCAGACUCCUACGGGAGGCAGCAGUAGGGAAUCGUCAGCCAUGGGCGAAAGCUUGACGGAGCAACGCCGAGUGCGUGAUGAAGGUCUUCGCAUCGUAACACUCUGUUAUUAGGGAAGACCAAAUGUGUACGUAACUAUGCACGUCUUGACGGUCCCUAAUCAGAAAGCCACGGCUAACUACGUG